GGAUCGGUGAGAGGAAGUAAAAGUCGUGGAGUGCUUGGAUCUCAGUCUAAAUUUCUAUGUAGUUAUGAAGAAAUGAAGACUAGGCUACAGAGGGGCUUAAGGAGGAGGCUGGACAGAUGGAGGAAGUAUGGAGGACAUGACACCUGAGCUCAAUGUGGAGAGAGGCUUCUAUCAGCAGGACAUAAACUGGGGCUGACCCCAAAUAGUCGAGUCGAUGCUUCGAUGGGCAGAGCUGGAUUCGACUGUCAAUCUCACAGUCGAAGCUUCACAGCGAAACCAGGAUCAUGCCAUUUUGCCAAUAUGGGGGUACUCAACAAAUAAUUGUAAUGGACAAUGCCCGGCCUAAUGUGGCCAGAGUGUGUAGGCAGUUCCUGGACGACGAAGGCAUUGAUGCCACUGACUGGCCCUCAUGUUCUCCAGACCUGAAUCCAACUGAGAACCUCUUGUACCUUAUGUAUCGGUGCAUCUGAUGCCGCCAAGUAGUGCCACACACAGGAGUCCAGGAGCUCACUGAA